GAAAAACUCACUCUCUCAAGUUCUCUCCCUAACCAUUAUAGAGUGAUUCAAAGCUUUUGCACGGUGGAAUUGAGGGUGAUAAUUGAAGCUUUUAGUAUCACUCCAUCACAAGAGAUUGUUGUUGUUCUAGUACGUGAUUUGGGGUUCGUGAUUCAUCAACCAAAAAUCCGGUUCGGUUAAAGUUCGCGAGAGGUCCUGCUAGCUUCAUAUCAAUGGGAAAGGGGAUAAAAGAUGGAGCUUUGGAGAUAAUAUGAAGAGGGGGAGGUCGGAUAAUUUGGCCAUGGUUCAAGUUGGUGUGGCAUUACCCGCAGGGCGCGAGCCGGAAUUUGUGAGUAGUGAGAAGAAAGAUGAUUAUAAGGAACGGGAAUCAAGUAAAGAUCAUGCUCUCUUCGUACAGUCAAACCAAAUCUCUCUUCCAUGUCUAGUUCUUCUGCCUUCAUUCCUUUGGGGAGUUUCCAGUCGAAAUGGUACAAAAGCUGUGCAAGUGGAAGCUCCAUAUUAGGAAG